UCCAAUAGCGUAUAUUAAAGUUGUUGCAGUUAAAAAGCUCGUAGUUGAAUUUCGGGGUCAGUAGUUUGGUCGUGCCAAUGGUAUGUACUGGGCUCACUGAUUCCUCCUUCCUGAUGAACUGUAAUGCCAUUAAUUUGGUGUUGCAGGGAAACUGGACUGUUACUUUGAAAAAAUUAGAGUGUUUAAAGCAAGCUAACGCUUGAAUACAUUAGCAUGGAAUAAUGAAAUAGGACGUUCGAUCCUAUUUCGUUGGUUUCUAGGAUUGACGUAAUGAUUAAUAGGGAUGGUUGGGGGCAUUAGUAUUCAAUUGUCAGAGGUGAAAUUCUUGGAUUUAUUGAAGACUAGCUACUGCGAAAGCAUAUGCCAAGGAUGUUUUCAUUAAUCAAGAACGAAAGUUAGGGGAUCGAAGACGAUCAGAUACCGUCGUAGUCUUAACCAUAAACUAUGCCGACUAGGGAUCGGAUGAUGUUAAUUUUUUAAUGACUCAUUCGGCGCCUUACGGGAAAC
rnacentral:rRNA from 1 species